rnacentral:rRNA from 1 species
UACAGAGGGUGCGAGCGUUAAUCGGAAUUACUGGGCGUAAAGCGCGCGUAGGCGGCUUUGCAAGUCGGAUGUGAAAUCCCCUGGCUUAACCUGGGAACUGCAUUCGAGACUGCAUUGCUAGAGUAUGGGAGAGGGAAGUGGAAUUUCCGGUGUAGCGGUGAAAUGCGUAGAUAUCGGAAGGAACAUCAGUGGCGAAAGCGACUUCCUGGACCAAUACUGACGCUCAUGUGCGAAAGCGUGGGGAGCAAACAGG